rnacentral:rRNA from 1 species
CUCAGGAUGAACGCUGGCGGCGUGCUAACACAUGCAAGUCGAACGAAGCACCUAGGAAAGAGUUCUUCGGAUGAAGCCUUUGUGACUGAGUGGCGGACGGGGUGAGUAACGACGUGGGUAACCGUACCUCAUACAGGGGGAGUAACAAGUUGGAAACGACCGCUAAUACCGCAUAAGCCAACAGAACCGCAUGGUUUAGUUGGAAAAGAUUGAUCGGUAUGAGAUGGACCCGCGUCUGAUUAGCCAGUUGGCAGGGUAACGGCCUACCAAAGCGACGAUCAGUAGCCGGCCUGAGAGGGUGAACGGCCACAUUGGGACUGAGACACGGCCCAAGCUCCUACGGGAGGCAGCAGUGGGGAAUAUUGCACAAUGGGGGAAACCCUGAUGCAGCGACGCCGCGUGAGUGAAGAAGUAUUUCGGUAUGUAAAGCUCUAUCAGCAAGGAAGAAAAUGACGGUACUUGACUAAGAAGCCCCGGCUAACUACGUG